rnacentral:lncRNA from 1 species
CUUUUAACAGUGUGCUUGGUGAUUAACCACUAGUAUCUGGGAAUAAUAAUUGGUCAUGGACAUCCAUCCUAUGGGGUUGAUUAACUAGGAAAAAGCAGCAUAUUUUUUCUUUCUCUUCUACUUUUUUUUCCUCUUUUUUUUUUCCUCUUUUUUUUUUUUUUUUUUUUUUUUUGUCUUUUUCACUGUAAAGCUUUUCCGUGGUAAUUCCACCAUUCAUUACGAUGGAGAAAUUGGCUCCAAACCAAGUACUUCUGCCAAAGCCAUUAUUUCCAUCAUCACACUCUGCAUCAGUCUGUAGUGCAGCCUUGUGGGAAGACAAUGUUCUGUCCCCUUGUGGUUCUUAAGUUAUGGGUAAGGAGCUUACAUAUAUUAAAAGGAGGGUCUUCACUUAGUCUCUUAAUCUUUAUGAGCACUAAUAAUAGUCAACUCUGUUUCCAAAAUUUAGAAACACUUUCUUUUAGAGUAGACGGGUUGCACAUGUUAGAAGAUAAGUCUCAGUUCAAUGAGAUUAGAAGCUAAGUGUUUUUUUCAAAUGCCUACACUUUUUUUUUUUUUUUUUUUUGGUAAGGGCUUUUGUAUCUUUAAUGCAUACACUUUUCCUCCUAUACUUACUUUCUGUAUCUUUAAGAGGAUAAUUGCUGAAUUGAAAUUUGAGAGUGUUAUCUUAAUAACCAAUUACUCAAAUAACUUUGAAAUUGGCUUAAAUUGGCUCGUCAUGCUACAUUUACCUGAAUCUUUUUAUGGGAAAGUUAGGAACAAAAAAAAAAAAAAAAAGAAAAAAAAAAAAAAGAAAAAAAAAUUGGCAGCCUGAUUUGUUUAGCUUUGCUGGAGGUUCCUGGUUGCAGCGGGGAGAGUGGCCCAGCGUGACCCCGGCACAGACCCCCUGCCUGGCCGCCUCCGGUACGGCGGAGGAAUGCAGCGGGAGGCCAGGGCGGCCGGACCCUCGCCCCGCGGGCGCUGCUCUCUCUGGAGGCCUGUACAAACACAGCCUGCUGGUGUGCGGCGGAGAGCAGUGCUAUUGCCCUGUAAGUGUUCAUAUACAGCAGAGUGGUUGGAGAAGUCCUUGAAGACCCUGAUCCAAUGCUCACCAAGGAAAUUUGCUCUCAUGGCAUGGAUAUGGUUUCAAGCCAGGCAGACCCAUCCUGGAGCUUUCCCUGCUUGCUCAAAAGGCUGCUUGAAAUUCUUGCCAUUAACUGUCCAUACCGGUGCUACUUGGUACAGCUCUGUCAUUUCUUCAAGGUGUGAGUUCCUCUUAUUUUUUCCUUAAAAAUAUGUUUAUUACUGAAUUGUAGAGAACAGAUUUGUAUUGUUAUUUGGGGUCUAACGCCACCAAUUUCCUUGGUGCGACAUUAGCAGGGGGUUAAGCACUCUGGCUCAUUUUUCUCAGGAUAACUUUAAAGCUCUGGUGGAGAUGAAGAGGUGAAGGCAGUUAGCAUCCACGCUGCUCACACAAAAGACUUCAGAUCUCAUCAAGUUGAACUGCUCACUCUUCAAAAGAGUAGCCCUUAAAAUGAUUUGGAACUGACCUUCUUUCCCUGAGAAAUUUCUUCUGACAAAACAGGUAUAUGUGAUACAGAAAAAUACAGUUAUUCAUUACCAACUGGUAGCUCCUCAUUGCCAGAUUACCUUUAAUUCACAAGCUAAACCAGAACAGGGAGCACACCUUGUUUUUCUCCCUCUCUGUGUUUUGGAUGUUAAAUUGUUGACUUUCUCUGAUAUCAGCAGGCAUGUAAAAGGUGGUUACAGAAGACAGAAAAGCAGUGUUACCUCAGGACUUUUUGCUCACAGGCAGAGUAGUUGGUAGGUUGGCCAAAACUGUCUUCACUCCUCAAAGGAAAAUGUAUUAAAAGAGAAAUGCAGCCCUUGCAUAUUGCCAGUGCUGUUCUGCUUGGAGAGAAAACUCCAUCAGUGCAACUCCCAUAAAGACAGAUCUCUGCCAAAUAUAAUUUGGAGAUGCUGUGGGACUUGGGAAUUGGCCCCUCAUUAGAGAUACAGAGAUUUCUCUCUAGAAGGGCAGUUUUCCAGCCUAUGAAAAUUAAUGGGAGAUGUACAUGUAUAUGUGGGUAGAUUUCAGCUCCCAAACAUACUACAAGGUGGGCCAAUCCACCAAAUUGCACUGAAUGUUGUUUCAUCACUCCAGAGGCUUCCUGCCUGGUGCCAAAUAUUUGCAGUUUGAACAUCUAUUAUACUAUUAGUGCUGCAGUGUAUCAACAGAUAACUCAGAUACAAUAUAGAAGAUAUAAUUCUCAAUAUUGUCCACUGAUUUUAAAUAUGUGUUUUUUGUUGUUGUUGUUGUUUUUUUUCUUUUAAAUAUACACAAGUAAAGAUAACUAAACAGGAUAAGUUGAGCAAUUUUUAUAAUGUCAUUUGGUUGAUGCUUCAAAGAAAAGCUAAUGCCAAUGCCUCUCUAAAUUGCAAUUGGUAAAACUUUACAAGAACUAAAAAUUAAUAUUCUAGAAAGUACAGACAAAAAUAAAAUAUGAGAACUAUAAAAUCA